rnacentral:lncRNA from 1 species
GAGGUAAUUACAUUUACGUUGAUCUGCAGAGGAACCUGGAAACUUUUUGCCCCUCUUAUUAGCAUCAUGCAUUUCAAUACUGACUAUCACAGAAUAUAAUUUUUCUGUCUUUGUUUUUUAGUUACUAAGUUGAAAUUGUACAGCCCAAAUUUACCCGGGCCUCACCAAAUAACAGGCCCAAAAAUUUAAAACCUACCCAAGCCCAAUUACAAAACCCAUUACCCAAAACACAAAUAAAAAAAAAAAAAGAAACCCUAACCCUAGGUGCGCCGCACCUAGGGCCUUCUGUAUCUGCCGCCGCCGUCAAUCAUCUCAGCCACCUACCCUCUGACUCGCGCCGCUCGCCCAUCACCCCACUUGCCUGCAAAGAAGAAAAUCACGCAAAGCACAGUGGCAAACAGAGAAAAAGAAAAAAGAAGACUAAAAUAGCAUGUAAAAUUGGCUAUAAAGCCAAGUAUCAUCUCUGUAACAAGGCCCCCCCCCUUUUGCAAAAAAAUUCAAGAAAUAAGAAAUAAAAAACAAAUUCAACAACCCCAUUUUCGGUAUAUUUAUUUUCUUUUUUAGUUUUUUUUUUCUCUUUAUUUUUUUUCUUUCGAAUUAUUUGUGUUUGAUUUUGUUUCUUUUAUCUUUUAAACUAUAUACAUAACAUAUAAAAAAAAAAAAAAAAAAAAAACAUACCUUUUGAAUUUUCCGGCCACCGUGUACGGUGGCCGGCGCGACGGCUCCAUGACCGGAGGCGGCCGGAUUCUGGGGAGGAAGAUGAGAGAGGAGAGAGCUCUCUCUCUCUGUUUUUUUUUUAAGAUGAAACUGAUUUGAUUUUUUUUUGUUUUUCUUAUUAUUUAUACUAAACACAAAACGGCGCCGUUUUAGCAAAGGGGGAUCCGCGCGUCGACCCGACCCGACCCGAAGGAUCCGCGUGUUUUAGUUUUUUGGGCAAUUUAUGCGCGCAGUCCCUCUGAUUCGCGGCGUGUUUCAAUUUGGUCAUAUUUUGUUGUUUUAUUUUAUUUUGAUUUAGCCCUAACAUUUUAUUUUUGUUUUAUUUUAGUCCAUUGAGGUGCUGCGUUUUGGGAUUUUGGGUUUAUUUUCUGUUUCGGUCCUUCCCUUUUUUACGCGCGUCGCAAUUGGAUCCCUUUCGUUUUCCUUUAUUUCGAAUUGGCCCUAUAUGUUUUAUUUCAUUUCGAUUUAAGGCCCCUUUUUAGCAUAUUUUAUUAUUUAGUCAAUUUUUGUUAACUUUAUUAUUAUUAUUAUUAUUAUUAUUAUUAUUAUUAUCAUCUUUACUAUUAUUAGUAUUGGUAUUAUUGUUGUUACUUUUACAUCUCUAUUCAUAUAUACUUAUGUAUUUUCAAAUAUAUAUAUCUUAUUAUUAUCAUAUAAGUGUUUGUAUAUGUACAUGUACAUAUUUUACAUAUAAUUUGUUUAAUAUAUAUACGUAUACUCAUAUUUCUUUUUAUAUAUAUCUAUAUACAUAUACAUAUUUUUAUUUUUAUAAGUAUAUAUAUUUAUAUGUAUGUAUUUAUAUGUUUUUGUAUAUCUUAAUUUGCAUAGACAUAUACAUACAUAUUUUCAAUAUAUUUUAAACAUAUAUAUAUAAAUUAAUGUACUUAUUUGUAUACGUCGGUAUACUUUCAUUAUUUUUAAAUUCUAAUUUGUACAUACAUAUUUUCAUGCGCCUACUUUAUAUCUGCAUUUCAUUAUUUUCAUAUUCCAUAAUUUUAUACACCUAUAUAUAUGUGUACAUAUUUUUAUCUAUAUGCAUAUUUUUUAUAUUUUAAAGUAUACUUUACAUAUAUAUAUUGUAAUUUAUGAAUACACACAUAUUUUAUUUUCUUUUGUCUAUACAUAUAAAUAUAUAUAUCCCUUUGAAUUUUGAUUGUAUUCAUUAUUUAUUUAUUUAUUUCAUUUUCAUUAUUAUUUUGAACGAAUGUUUAAUUUAUUUGUUUAUAUACAUUGUUAUUUUAUAUGAUUGUAGGUUUGACUUUUAUUUAUUUUAUAUUGUUGCUAUCGCUCGUAUCAUUUUUACACUUUUGUAUUCAUUAUGAUUUUGUCAUGUAUAACAAUGUAAUUUGCUUUCACAUUUUUUACUACGACUUCAUGUUUUUAUUUUACUCGAUAAUAAAAUUUGUUUAAAAAAAGUGAUAUUUUUUGUUUAGAUUCGAGAGGAUCGUACCCUAACUUACUGGGUUUCGAUUUCCACAAUAAAUCUAAACACACUGAUCUUUUCAAACUCAAGUUUUGAAACGAUCUCGGGAAUUAAGAAAAGAUCAUGUCCUAACUUACUGGGCAUGAUCCCUUUCCUAAACCCGAGAUAAUAAAAUAUCUUUUAAAUAAGUAAAAUUCUGGCAUUCAUUCAUGUAUUGGGAAUUUGAGACAUUGUAUUCUAACUUACUGGAUAUGAUUCUCUUUCUCGAAUAAUGUGAAAUAUGCCCAUUUUCCUGAAAAUUUUCAACGUUUUAAUACAAGGAUCGUAUUUUUUUUAAUUCUUCUAAGUUUUCAAUUUUCGACAUUAAGACAUUAAGUAAUCAACUAAGGUACCAAUUUUGGGCGUAUCGAGGGUGCUAAUCCUUCCUCGUGCGUAACCGACUCCCGAACCCGUUUUCUGAAUUUCGCGGAUCAAACUUGUUGUUUUAAUAAAAUCAAACCGUUUAUUAAAAACGACCGCUUUUCGAGGUGAUCCAAUCACACCUUAAUAAAAGAUUGGUGGCGACUCCCGUUUUCAUUUUCAAAAUCCAAGUCGACCCCGUUUUUAUCCGAAAAAUGGUGUCAACAGCUUGGCGACUCCGCUGGGGACAAACACAAGAGUCAAGCCAUGAGUUGAUUACUUUUUGUCUUUUUGUCAAAAAUCAAAAACCUAGUUUAAAUAUACGAUCCUUUCAUUGUAUUUUUAUUUAUCUUUAUUAUGAUCUUCGUCAUUGUGAUUCAUAAUUGCUCUGUUUAAGUUCAGAUGUAUUUUUGCACAUUGCAUUGCAUGACCGUUGGUCAUACCCUUUUAAGUGGGAGUGAGAAGCUACGCCUUCGUGAGGUUUUCACCUCCGCAUGGGAUAGUGAAUCGCUUUCGGGAUACAUCCGUACCUAUGUCUUCGUGAGAUUUUCAUCUCCGCAUGGCCAUAGGGAAAUGUAUUCCCCUGAACUGAACUCAGUCCGUAUGAGCCUAUAAUGGGUGAGGAUCGAGGAAUCUGCUGGUUCGGGUACCCUUACUUUAGAACCAACCCUCAUAUAGUAGACUUAGGAACUUAACCUAGGUAGAGCCACUCCAAACCCCUAGUAUCUACCCGAUUAGGUACUUUUUUGUUUUCUGUGCUUGCUUAUGUUUUGUACUAACCCUUCUUGUUGUGUUUUGAUUAUGAUUGCAUUACAUUGCAUUUGCAUCUUAGGAAAGAGAUAUGGAUUCAAAUCCAAUUACUAAAUUAGAAAGCUUGUCAUGGAAUACGAAUUCCUUGAUAAAGUGGAAAACAAUACGACUUCCCAAACAUAUUCUGAGAAACACAAGAAUGGCGAUGGAAGAGUUCGUGACCUUACUUUGUGGCCUGGGGAUUCGAGACGAUUGUCCAAAAGCCUUCAACAAGCUGACGAGCCUUAUGAAGAUGAGCAGAUGAUGGAUCGCGACCAAGAUCAAGAAAAUGAGCUAGCAAUGGCAUCUAUUGGUGAGAUUACCUCAAACAUGCGGAUAAAGAAAAAAAUCGAUGUUGUUUCUUGGAAUAUGAGGGUAAGGUCGUACAUGUAUCCGUUUUAUGUAAGGAAAUUUGCUUUCUAGGAAAGUUUCCUAAAUGUAAUUGAAUCAGAAUCAACGUCCCUUUAAGACAUUCAUUUCAUGCAUCUGCAUUACAUUGUAUCAUAUGCAUUAGAUUUUCACGAAGUGACCCUAAUUAUGUAAAAUUAUUUCAGCUAAUCUGGAAAACCAAUCAACCAAACAUCCUUACGGUACUCGUCGCAAAGCCAAAGAAAUGGAUCAAAGAUUAGAGAAACUGGAGCAAACGCAAAAAGAGAUGCAAGACCAGUUACAGGUGCAAAUGAAAGAACAUAUGGAAAAGAUCCAGAAAGACAUGGCACAAAAGAUGAAGGAGUCUCAGGAUGAACUAAUGACUAAAUUGACGCAAUUAAUAACCAAGGGAGUGGAUAAAGGGAAAAAUCCUGUGGUUUGCGAUGAAGAAGGAAACAAUGAUGAGCCACUUUAUCCUCCAGGUUUCACGCCUCCGCAUGCGCAAGUACAGAUUGAACCACAUCCACGAAGAUUUUCUGUUUCGAUUAGGCCUCAGCACUUUCAAGGUGACGCUUCAAUACCGAAGAACCUUCAGGGCAGAUCUGGUUCUAGUCCUGAUGAUAAUCUGGUUGUCCCGGACUUCGAUGAAGUAGCGGAGAAAGACAAGAUGAAGGAGGAGUUACCAAAGCAGUUUGAGGAGAAAUGGAAAUGGAUUGAAGAGAAGUUUAGGGCGAUAGAAAGUAUCGACGGCUAUCGGGGAAUAGAUGCGAAAGAUCUGAGUUUAGUUCCGGAUUUGGUGCUUCCUUACAAAUUUAAGAUGCCAGAAUUCGAGAAAUAUAAUGGGACCAGCUGCCCAGAAGCUCAUAUUACUAUGUUCUGUAGGCGUAUGGCCGGAUACGUCAACAACGACCAACUGCUCAUACACUGCUUUCAAGAUAGCCUCACAGGGGCAGCGUCUAAGUGGUACAAUCAAUUGACGCGUAUCCAGAUUAGUUCUUGGAGGGAUUUAGCACAAGCCUUUAUGAAACAAUACAGUCAUGUAGCUGAUAUGGUCCUUGACAGAAUUACCCUUCAAAAUAUGGAGAAAAAGCCUAAUGAAAGUUUUAGGCAAUACGCACAAAGGUGGAGGGAGGUCGCUAUCCAAGUUCAGCCGCCACUCCUAGAGAAAGAAAUGACGAUGCUCUUCAUCAACACAUUGAAGGCCCCGUUCAUCACCCACAUGUUAGGAAGUGCUUCGAAGAGUUUUUCAGACAUAGUCAUGAGCGGUGAAAUGAUUGAAAGUGCCGUGAGAAGUGGAAAGAUUGAUGCUGGAGAAAAUAAUAGGAGGUCAGACUUAAAGAAGAAGGAAAAUGAGGUGAGCAAUGUGAACACCUACAACAAAUCGAUUACACAGCCAAGAAAGGUGAUUACUAGUCAGCAAGGUUCAUCUAGACAAGAAUCGUAUGUGAAGCAAGGCACUGAGAACCUUCAAUUCACGCCAAUUCCGAUGUCAUAUAAGGAGUUGUAUCAAAGCUUAUUCAACGCACGUAUUGUCGCCCCUCUCUACACGAAACCUCCACAGCCUCCGAACCCCAAAUGGCACGAUGCGAAUGCACAAUGCGAGUAUCAUGCGGGAAAUACGGGGCAUUCCAUAGAGAACUGCAUAGCCUUCAAGAAACUGGUUGAAAAGCUCAUCAACAUGGGUGUCGUCAAGUUUGGUGACUCAUCUAAUGCAGAAAAUUCGCCACCCAAUCAUGAUUAACAAAUGGGGUGAACGCAAUAUAUGAGAAAGUGUUGGGAAGUUUUCACAUCAAUACCAUAUAUGAAGGCAUAAUUGAAAAGGGAUCUUAUUAGGUGUUCGCCCUUAUAAACCUAGGAGUGUUCUAAAGAAACCUUUGUAGUAUUUAGAGCUUACUCAGAGUAAUAUUCAAAACACACUUGUUGCUUUCAGCCUAGAGCAACAAGAAGUCUUUCGUGAAAAAGGCUUAUGUCUGAACGUCAUUAUUUUAAUGGAAUGCAUCUUUGCGAUCUUUUGAACUAAUAUUUUUCAUUGAUUAUUCUUUUAUUCUUCCAUCCAAAUCAUUCUUUCAUUCAUUCAUAAUCAUACUGUGCAGAUAAUUAUUCUUAAAUUCAUACAUUCUUUAUAUAUUAUUUUGUACCUACAAUAGGUCUCUGGAUAUCAACGACAUGAAUGACACUGCUACAGACUUAGAAUCUCCUUUUGAGCGAGACAUGUGUUUAGAGGGAUCUCACGACUUUGAAGUUGACACAGAGCGUAGCUUAUCUCCAAACUUGUUGAGGAUGGUAGAACAAAAGGAUAAACAGAUCCUACCUCUCAGUGAAUCAUUAGAAAUUGUGAGCUUGAUAAUAAAACCUGCACAACAGCACGAUGUCAGAAAUUUACAGUGCGAACGAUGCAAUUCUUUGCCGGGGCAAUGCCUCUCUCGUUGAGUCAGCAUAGCUUUACCCAUUUGAAGUUGAGUUUCCAUCCCUUCAAGAUGUUGUUGGAUUUUAUCCUGAUUAAAGAUAGAGAUCUAAAUUUUUCUGUCGUAGUUGCGUCCCAAAAGGGCUCUAUGAAAGAAAUCUGGUACCAAAGAAGGUUUCUCACAUACGAGAUGAAAGUGGAAGAUCUUAUGUGGAAGACUUUAGAAUAACAUUGAUUCUGGUCGAAAAGCAUGACCAGAACUUGCCUAAUCUCAUGAAUUCAAAAAAAUAAAAAUCAAAAAAAUCAAAGUCAAAAUAGGAAAAAGAAAAAGGAGAGGCCAAGGCGAAAACCCACAAAGGGCGCUUUGACCAAAGGUGAAUCUGAGUUGAAAACCCGAAAAAGGACGACUCAAAUUUUGAGCACAAUGGGGCAAGAACAUCACCAUUAUCGAAGACUUCUAAUGGGCAUUGUUUCAUUUUGAGAGGCUACUUCAUGAACUAAAGGCAUCGUAUACCGAUACAGAAUUUCAGAGAAGAGAGUAUUGGAGAAUGCAUUGAGGUUAAACAAUAGCACGAUAGCUGAAGUCUCAAAUUAGCUCAGAAGUGGACACCACGAUUCGUCACUGGAGUUCCUAGAGUUGAACAUCAAAAAUUGAAGGAAAAUGACUGAGACUUACGAGGAUCGAUGUGAGAAAUUACCAUUGUUUGUCGAACAUCGGUAUUGGGGCAACACUUCUCUUUUUGGUUUACAGGAUUGAGGUAGUUCUACCUAUUAAAAUCCCCUCGUUGCUUGUUGAAGGGAUCCAAUCGCAAUGUGAUUAGUUGGCCCUAGGAAAAUGGUUAAAAGCUAUUCAUCAGGGUCAGAGGUACCAUAAAUAAAUAAUAUGAGCCCAUAAUAAACAUGCUCGUCUCAGAGAAUUCCACAAGAGGGCUGGAUGUUGAAAAAGAUUCUUCCUUAACGAAAGGAUUCUAAAGGGAAAUGAAUGCCAAACUAGGAAAGUCCCUAUGUUGUAAAGAAGACCAUUUCUAGAAGAGCACUGAUCCUGAGUGAGAUUGCUAAUCCUAUAAACUCGGAUCCAGAAACACUUCGUUUAAAGAAGAAGGAAGGACCAAGGUGAAAACCUGCAAAAAGGCACUUUGAUUCAAAAAAAAAAAAAAAAAAAAGAGAGAAGAAGAUGAAAAAAUGAAAAAUGAAAAAGUAAAAAUGGAGAGGCUAAGGGGAAAACCCGCAAAGGGCGCCUUAGGCCAAAGGGGAUCUGAGCUGAAAACCCGAAAAGGGCGGCUCAAAUACUGAUCAAAAUGGGGCAUGAGGUGAUAUAAGCUGCUCAAGUUUUGUUCAUAUUGAGGCAUGUGUUGAUCUUGCCAUACCUGAAUCAACAGGAAAGGAUAGGCGACAUCUUGGGGGCAUUGACAGAGCAUUGUAGAUCUCCUAAACACAUGUCCAACUCAAAAGGGUCUUCAGAAAGUUUGUAUAGAGAAGUUCAAGCUGUGAUAUCUGGGGCACCCAAUUCUCAUGUUAUUUGUUGUUCUUGGAAUAUUUUUUCUUUCUUUCCAAGAUAUACAUUCCCAAUUAAUUCUUUUGUUGUCCUUCUUCACUAUUUUCGAUAAUUUGUUCUUUCGAGCUAUGCUCAGAACCAACUUUAUUCUUAUCCAUUGUUAUGACCUUUUUGCAAGCAUUGGAAUAAUGAUUAAUGGACUAAUAAAACUUUCACAAAGGAAGUUUUGCAUAUUACUCUGAAAAGUUUCUAAAUAAUACAGGAACCUGAAACAGGACUAUUGUUUAGAACAUGCCAAAUUUGAAGGUUGGAAAUUUGAGAAGGAAGAGUCUAAGUUUGGACUUUCUCUUUGGAUUUUGUUGACAAAUGCAUUGAUUGAACAAAAUGACAAGAUGUCGUGUCAAUGAAAAAGCUUAAAUAAACAAGCAAGCAAUGAUCACUAGGCAAUAGGAAGAGGUUACCUCGGAGAAGAGAGCCUUCAUUUGUGCAUGAGUCUUUGAAACGACACCCUGAAAAUGGUGUAAGGGGGACCAGAAAGAUUAAGAUCCUAUAUCCUUGAAUUGUGAUAAAAGAGGAUUGAGGAAAAACCAUAUUUCUACCCUUGGAUUGUAGUGGGAGAAUGAUGGUACAAAUUUUGUGCCCUAAUAGAUUAAACGUUAAGGUUUACAGUGGGGGGCAACCAGAUUAAGUGUUUCUUUGGAUAUACCAAACGAGCAAAAGGCGUUGUAGUACGUCAGUGAUAAAACCUUAAUAAGUUUUUACGUGAUGUUAACCUAAGCAUUAAGGAAUCAUCUUCAUGACGUUUUGCAUUCAUUCAAAUGUCAUUCAUACAUAUCUAGUUAGGAGCAUUUGAUUCAUUCUGAUUAUGUCAUCCUAAUCACUAGGCACAAUUAGGUUCAUAAAAUAGAACAUACAGGUCAUGUUCCCCAAGGGACAGAUCAAUGAAGUAAAAGAUCUUGCCUUUCUGCAUUGACAGCGAAGCAGAUUGAAGACACAAACCUUGCCUCUUUCGGUUGUGAUAGAGCUGGUUGAAGACAAAAGAUCUUGCCUUUCUGCAUUAACAGCGAAGCAGAUCGAAGACACAAACCUUGCUUCUUUCGGUUGUGAUGGAGCUGGUUGAAGACAAAAGAUCUUGCCUUUCUGCAUUGACAGCGAAGCAGAUUGAAGACACAAACCUUGCCUCUUUCGGUUGUGAUGGAGCUGGUUGAAGACAAAAGAUCUUGCCUUUCUGCAUUGACAGCGAAGCAGAUCGAAGACACAAACCUUGCCUCUUUCGGUUGUGAUAGAGCUGGUUGAAGACAAAAGAUCUUGCCUUCCUGCAUUGACAGUGAAGCAGGUCGAAGACACAAACCUUGCCUCUCUCGGUUGUAGUGGAGCUGGUUAAAGAAGCAGAUCUUACCUUCCUACAUUAACAGCGAAGCAGAUCGAAAACAAAGCCUUGCAUCCAUCGAUUGCAGUGGAGCUAGUUAAAGAAGCAGAUCUUGCCUUCCUGCAUUAACAGCAAAGCAGAUCAAAAACAAAGCCUUGCCUCCAUCGGUUGCAUUAGAGCUGGUUAAAGGUUACAGAUUUUGUCUCCCUAAGCCGUAGCGGAGCAGAUCAAAGACAGCAAAUCUUAUAUUCAAGUGUAAGGAAGCAGAUUCAAACCACAAGUCCUAUAUCCCUGACCUGUAGUGGAAUAGGUUGGAAAUUACAGAUCUUGUCCCCCUGAAGUCACAAUGGGGCAAACUAAAGCCAGAGAUUUUACCUCACUGUGACUACAGUGGAGUAUAUUGAAGCCGAUAAUUCUAUCUCCCUGGUUGGCAGGGGAAUAGAUUGAAGAUCAUAGAGGGCAGAUUCUACCUCCCUGUGACUACAGUGGAGUACAUUGAAGUCGAUAAUUCUAUCUCCCUGGUUGGCAGUGGAAUAGAUUGAAGAUUUCAGAUCUUACCUUCCUAAACAGCAGUGAAGUAGAUCAAGUAAUGGCAAAUUUUACCUCCUUGUGACUACAGUGGAGUACAUUGAAGCCGAUAAUUCUAUCUCCCUGGUUAACAAUGGAAUAGAUUGAAGAUUUCAGAUCUUACCUCUCUAAAGUUGCAGUAGAGCAGAUCGCAUCUAGUCUUAUCUUCCUGAUAUUGCAGUGGAGCAGACUAAAGCAAUGAAUCUCGUCCCCCUGAAGUUGGUACGAAGAAGAUUGAAGCUACAAGUCCGAUCUCUCUGAAGGGCAAUAGAGUGGAUCGAAACAACAAGGCACAGUGGAUUGCGAAAAGGCUAUCUGAAGAAGAAAGGCACCAAGAGGUCAAGACUCGGCGAGACUGGGCAAAUUUGGUCUUUCUUAGUCUUUGCUCUGUUCUCGUUACACGACAACGAGCAAAGAGGGGCAGCUGUACAGCCCAAAUUUACCCGGGCCUCACCAAAUAACAGGCCCAAAAAUUUAAAACCUACCCAAGCCCAAUUACAAAACCCAUUACCCAAAACACAAAUAAAAAAAAAAAAGAAACCCUAACCCUAGGUGCGCCGCACCUAGGGCCUUCUGUAUCUGCCGCCGCCGUCAAUCAUCUCAGCCACCUACCCUCUGACUCGCGCCGCUCGCCCAUCACCCCACUUGCCUGCAAAGAAGAAAAUCACGCAAAGCACAGUGGCAAACAGAGAAAAAGAAAAAAGAAGACUAAAAUAGCAUGUAAAAUUGGCUAUAAAGCCAAGUAUCAUCUCUGUAACAAGGCCCCCCCCCCUUUUGCAAAAAAAUUCAAGAAAUAAGAAAUAAAAAACAAAUUCAACAACCCCAUUUUCGGUAUAUUUAUUUUCUUUUUUAGUUUUUUUUUUUUCUCUUUAUUUUUUUU